rnacentral:misc_RNA from 1 species
GAUGAAGAACGUAGCGAAAUGCGAUAAGUAGUGUGAAUUGCAGAAUUCAGUGAAUCAUCGAAUCUUUGAACGCACAUUGCGCCCCAUGGUAUUCCGUGGGGCAUGCCUGUUCGAGCGUUAUUUACCCCCUCAAGCUCCGCUUGGUGUUGGGCGUCUGUCCCGCUUCGCGCGCGGACUCGCCCCAAAGGUAUUGGCAGCGGUCGUGCCAGCUUCUCGCGCAGCACAUUGCGCUUCUCGAGGCACCGGUGGGCCCGCGUCCAUCAAGCUCACCCCCCCAGUUUGACCUCGGAUCAGGUAGGGAUACCCGCUGAACUUAAGCAUAUCAAUAAGCGGAGGA